GUCCCUUUCCUACGAUCCCGUGGUCGCUGCCCUGCUCCAUCCGACCUCCCUCGUCAGUCGUCGCCGCCCCCGCUACGGCUCCUCCGUCCACCGACUUUGUCCGUGCAGGUGGCCAGUUUCCUUCCGCCCCAACCUUCUCCACUGUCUCCCCAGUUCAUACUCCGUCCCUUGCUACUCGAGAUUCUCAUCUGCUCAGGCCGCGAGGAAGCCACGUGAGGAGGAGAGACCUCGUCUCGAGAAGCCGCGGGAGGAGGGGCUCAACCAGAGAGGAGCAGAUGCCAGCCAGGUAGCCGGCUCGGCUCGACGCCGUCCUUCGUGUCUGGGCCGCGGCAGACCCUAGCGCCGUCCUUCAGGUGUCUUCACGGCUGCAGAUGAAGUUGGUGGGUUCAUGGAGACCCAAGGUGCACUGACAGAAGAUAUCAGAGGAGCAGAGGAAAAUGCAAGUGUGUAUGUGUGAAAAAUUAUUGCUUUAACUCAAGAUCAGCUCUUCGUUCUUUCAAGCACUAUGUUGCUUACUCAAAUGUUUGUGGCGAUUGUAUCCUUGUGCCAUGAAUAUUUGUACUUAGCAGAUCAGUAUAAACAUAUUGGCUAUCUAUUUACCAAUUCAGAAUUUAAAGCACUUUAUUUUAUGGCCUUGAGUAAAAGUUCAGUCGUUGUUGGCUGGAAGACAUCUUCAAUACGCCGUCAACACGAGCUUCCCAAGAAAGAAGAUUUUGUGGAUGAUGUAAGAUAUCCACAUGUUGUAUAUGUGGAAAAACCAAAGGCUCGGGAUGUUGAUUUUUCGGAUGAAAUGAUUUAUCAGGCAAAAACUACAAGUGAAAUGGAAGAAGUAAUGCUCAAAAGCCUGAAUAGAAUUCCUUGGGAAAGGGUAGAUGUUAGCUUCAAGAGAAGUAGACAAUGGAUUUUUGCCCAUAGCACCAUUCAGGUGAAGACGUAUUUCUUGAACUCUGAUGGGGCUGAUGUGAUCUUCCACAUGAUCGACCAUUUUCUUUACUAGCGGUGCCAAUUUCUUUCUCUUCUUCUAUCUGGAUACCAAUUUCAAUUGGAUAGGAAAUUGAUAGGGGCAAAAGGUAUUGGAGAUAUACUACAGUGGAAUAGGUAGAACCUUGGAUCAGUGUUUCGGCUUUUCUCCAUUGGUUCGUAAAAACCGCAUGGAGACUGCAACUGACAUGCUGGAUGGGGAAUAACCAAAUUUGUGGACAAAGACAAAGAGUUCAUCGCAAGGGGUGGUGUUUAGGAUAUAUACACAAAAGAGGAAACUUUUUUUGUACAGAACCAAAUUAUAUGAUGUAAUUGACCACUAUUUCUAAGAAAUGUUUAUCAUGUAUUAAGUACAUUUUAUUGUGUCAUUUUUUUUGAGGGGUAGCUUUAUUCAUCAAACAUCACAAAGUGUGCGAUAGAGUUCAUCAAACCAGGCUUUAUUGUAUCACGUAUGUUUACCUUCUUUUUUACUGUGUCGCCUAUGUUUACCUUAUUUUUAGCGUAAGCUAUUUGGACUUUCUAAUUGCAGGCUCAGUUAUUUGACCCACC